UGUUGGUGGGGUAAUGGCCUACCAAGACUUUGAUCAAUAGCUGAUUUGAGAGGAUGAUCAGCCACAUUGGGACUGAGACACGGCCCAAACUCCUACGGGAGGCAGCAGUGGGGAAUCUUGCACAAUGGAGGAAACUCUGAUGCAGCGAUGCCGCGUGAGUGAAGAAGGCCCUUGGGUUGUAAAGCUCUUUCGUCGGGGAAGAAAAUGACUGUACCCGAAUAAGAAGGUCCGGCUAACUUCGUGCCAGCAGCCGCGGUAAUACGAAGGGACCUAGCGUAGUUCGGAAUUACUGGGCUUAAAGAGUUCGUAGGUGGUUGAAAAAGUUGGUGGUGAAAUCCCAGAGCUUAACUCUGGAACUGCCAUCAAAACUUUUCAGCUAGAGUAUGAUAGAGGAAAGCAGAAUUUCUAGUGUAGAGGUGAAAUUCGUAGAUAUUAGAAAGAAUACCAAUUGCGAAGGCAGCUUUCUGGAUCAUUACUGACACUGAGGAACGAAAGCAUGGGUAGCGAAGAGGAUUAGAUACCCUCGUAGUCCAUGCCGUAAACGAUGUGUGUUAGACGUUGGAAAUUUAUUUUCAGUGUCGCAGCGAAAGCGAUAAACACACCGCCUGGGGAGUACGACCGCAAGGUUAAAACUCAAAUGAAUUGACGGGGACCCGCACAAGUAGUGGAGCAUGUGGUUUAAUUCGAAGAUACGCGCAGAACCUUACCAACACUUGACAUGUUCGUCGCGACUCUAAGAGAUUAGAGUUUUCGGUUCGGCCGGACGAAACACAGGUGCUGCAUGGCUGUCGUCAGCUCGUGUCGUGAGAUGUUGGGUUAAGUCCCGCAACGAGCGCAACCCUCACUUUUAGUUGCCAUCAUUAAGUUGGGCACUCUGAAAGAACUGCCAGUGAUAAGCUGGAGGAAGGUGGGGAUGACGUCAA
rnacentral:rRNA from 1 species